rnacentral:rRNA from 1 species
UACGUAGGGUGCGAGCGUUGUCCGGAAUUACUGGGCGUAAAGAGCUCGUAGGUGGUUUGUCGCGUUGUUCGUGAAAACUCACAGCUUAACUGUGGGCGUGCGGGCGAUACGGGCAGACGUGGAGUACUGCAGGGGGAGACUGGAAUUCCUGGUGGUAGCGGUGGGAAUGCGCAGAUAUCAGGAGGAACACCGGUGGCGAAGGCGGCUUCCCUGGGGCCAAGUCCU